CAACCCUCAAGCACCUUCGGGAGCUUGGUGUUGGGGAUCGGCAGGGCGUCCUCCGGGUCGCGCCGUCCCCCAAAUCUAGUGGCGGUCUCGCUGUAGCUUCCUCUGCGUAGUAAUACACCUCGCUCUGGAGUCUCGGUGCGGCCACGCCGUUAAACCCCCAACUUUUUUCU
rnacentral:misc_RNA from 1 species